rnacentral:tmRNA from 1 species
GGGGGUGAACGGUUUCGACUUUGGACGUUCGUUUGAAGUGAAGCGGGCCGAGGAUCCAGGGUUAUCUCGUUAACGAUCUCUGGAAACCAAUAAGUGCCAACGUUAAGCGCACUGACCUCGCUCUCGCCGCCUGACGGCCUGAGAUAAACGAGGGGUCAGCCCGGGGAUGCUCUCGACCCGGUUCCUGGCCUCAGCUAGAGAGCUUGCUGUGUUGACCCGGUCACGGGGUUAGCACGGGACUUUUACAGUGACUGAGCCUGUCAGCGACGUGUCUGUUAGAGCGCUGGGGCUGAGAAAAGCGAUAACAGACUGCGCCCGGAGAAGCCUUGAAACAACGCUGAAGGACGCGGGUUCGAUUCCCGCCACCUCCACGA